rnacentral:misc_RNA from 1 species
AGUCAUUGAAGAAACGACAAUCUGGUAAAAAAUCUAUCUUGUGGUAUUUGGCUAUGCAUAUGUUCUACUCUUUCAGUAUUAUUUGUGACUGUUUGGAACUUAGGAUUAAGACUGGGCUGUUAACUGUUUGGAACUUAGGAUUAAGGAUAUACCCAUAUAGUAUCUUCUGGUCUUUAGUUGGUGAAGAAUUAAAACUAUGAUUAAUAUAUUAGCAUCUGCCUAAGAUAUUUACGGAAAGAUUAUCCUGCCAACUAAUUUUUCAUCAGCCCUCUGUCUGCAUUGCCUAUGCUGAUCUAUACAAAGUAAUGUGUUGCCAAAAAAAUUUUCUAGUACUCCCUAACUAUUGUGGGAGUUUGGUUUGACUUCUUAAGUGUUCCUAUCAUCAUACAAAUUCAGGCAGUUGUCCACUGUAUGGACCAUAGACUUUUGGUCCUUUUGAACCUUUAGAAAUUAGAAUGUGAACUUAAUGAUCAUUCCUGUAGCUUUUAGUGGUAUUUCUUAUUUCUGUUGCAUUCAUCAUCUACAUUUGGUUUUGGUGGUUUUAACAAGAUUCUGAAUACUCAUGCAAUUUUUCCCCUUCUGUAACAACUGGAAUUUUUCUUGUGCAUUCAGCUUUUGUUAACUUGUUGACAGUCUCUUCCAUGGAGAAUUUUAAGUACACACCUCUAUUUUACAUAUGUGGAACCCCUUUUGGUUUUUUGCUUGAUAUAAUUUUUCCUUCUAAGAAAG